UUAGACACUUAAUGCUGGUGUCAUAUGUUCAGUUGUUGAAAAUUACAGCUAAGCAUGCAACAUCGUUUCUGGUUUCCAUCCGUUUGCUGAACUGUCGAAAUUACAAGAAAUCUGUUCGAACUUAAAAGCAGCCUGAAGGCUCAUUUCAAACUAAUGAUAGUAAUAGUUAGUUCUGUAAAUUUAUAACUCUUAUUAAUAUUAGCACUAACAUUAACUAAACAUUUCACAAUACACUGUUGAGCACUUGCAAUUUACAAAAGGGGAACGGUCAUCAACAAAAACAGCUACAACUAUGAAUAUCUGUGAGCUUAAAAGAAUACAGUUUCAAUAGAUGCGGCAUGCGGAAUUGCUGCAACACAAUGCAACAGACAAAGCGACAACAGCGCCAACUCAUUUCGUUUCAGAACGUGCCCCAUUGCGGCAUUAUUCAUGAUCUGACUGCCAAAGUACCGCAAAGUGCGGCAUUGUUGUCCAUGUGUUGCUGUUGUUGCAUUGUGUUGGACUUGGCUGCAUUGUCUGGGCCGCAAUGUAAACACUUUUGUUUAAGCAAAUUAUUGCAAUUACUGUAGGAAAUGGAAAUGGAAUUGCACUCGGACACACUUCCUUGUACUGCCUUACAAUUUGCAUCGCAUUGUCGAUCGUUCCGAUCUUCGAUCCUCGUUGCCAAUUACGAGGAUGUCUCAUGUUCAGGUUGCCGGCAGUCGCAGUGGCAUUUUGAACCGGUUUCCUGGGUUUAUUCUCCUUUUUUUUUCGUAUGUGACGUGCCUUCUUGGGUAAUUUUUGCUUUAAGUUAUCGCAUAUUAACCCUUAAUUAAAAUACUUACAACUGAUUCCGAUGCUGGAUAAUAAAGACGUUGCUCACGAGUAGCAAAAACAGAAAA